GGGGAACCGGGCCGGCCCCCUCCCCCCUUCCUUCCUCCCGCUCGGCCGAGGAGGCGCGGGGAGGCCGGCUGCCCUUUGCAGCCCUGCUGCGUCCGUCCGUCUGUCUGUCGGGGCCGUGCCCGUUCGGGAGCCGGGGGCUGGGGGCGGCGUAGGGCUCUCACCCCGGGACUCGGGAGGACGCUCGGGGCUGUUUGUCUGUCCCCGGGGAGGAAACCGUCUCAUUUUUGGUUAAAAGAGGAACUUUCCUCUUCUUAUAAUGCUGCACUGCCGGGCAGGACUGCAGUCACCCGUGGGGGGCAGACGUCCGGGUGGGGGUGACUGGUGCGGAAGUUGGCAUUAAGCACUGGCAUCCCUCUCGCUCUGGUGAACGGAGGCUCCCACAGGAGUCAGAAGGGUCUGGAUAUUUUGGGAAGGCAAAUGUUUUGAUCGUUUCAAGAGGAGUCUUUGGGGGCAGAUUUAAAAAAAAAAAAAAAAGCUCUCUGCUUGCUGGGUUUGGGGUCUAGGCUCCUCUCUGAGCCUUCAUGGAGCCGGAGCCUGCCUUCUAGCCCUCUAGAAUGCCCAUGGGUUGUGGAAUUUAGUCUCAGACCUUCCUCUUCCUCUUCGCCACCAACCCUGCUUUUAUUUAUUUGCCAAAGUGUCUUCGAGCUCCCGAGACCGUCAGCUGGGUGUAAAGUCAGGCCGGUCAUCUUGCAGCCUUCCUCAGAAAAAGAGAAUACUCGAGAAGUUUGGGCCAGAAUUCAGCUCCAACAAUAAUCAAGUUGUGUGGUUGACCAUGCCUCCCAACUCUCCAACAAAGACUCUCAUUUUAACCCCCAAGCCCUUCUUCCCCCUCCAGAGCCUUCAGGACCGCCAGAGCCACGGACAGGUUGCCAGACUGAAGAGGCCUUCCUAGUACAAAGUACAGAAUAGGCUGGGGUGAACCACAAUGCUUCGCAGAUAAGGAAAUAAAGACGUAGCAAAGGGCCCAGAAAAGACUGAGGAAUGUGCACGAUGAUCCAUCCAGCUUCUCCAGUCACCAUUUCACUUCAGAUGACUUUAGAUAGCAUGAUGUGAAAACUCUAGGCUUAUUUUCUUGUUCAGAGAGAAGGUUUCUUGCUUAGAAGACUGUUGAUACUUUAUCAUCUUAUCAGGGAUUCUCUCUUACUUUUUCUUUCCUGAGCUCCUUUAUCCUAGAGUAAGCAGAACAGGUUUAAAAAAAAAAAAAAAAGAGGGCAGCCC